UACGUAGGGGGCAAGCGUUGUCCGGAAUCAUUGGGCGUAAAGCGCGUGUAGGCGGCCAGGUAAGUCCGUUCUGAAAGCCCGGGGCUCAACCCCGGGAGGCGGAUGGAUACUGCUUGGCUCGAGUCCGGAAGAGGCGAGUGGAAUUCCCGGUGUAGCGGUGAAAUGCGCAGAUAUCGGGAGGAACACCAGUGGCGAAGGCGGCGAUCUGGGAAGAUACUGACGCUGAGGUGCGAAAGCGUGGGGAGCAAACAGG
rnacentral:rRNA from 1 species